rnacentral:snRNA from 1 species
GUGCUUGCUUCAGCAGCACAUAUACUAAAACUGGAACAAUAUAGAGAAGAUUAGCAUGGCCCCUACGCAAGGAUGACAUGCAAAUUCGUGAAGCGUUCCAUAUUUUU